rnacentral:rRNA from 1 species
CAGGUAGUAGUGGGUGUAGCGUACCUACUAGCCUACGACGGGUACGGGUUGUGAGAGCAAGAGCCCGGAGAUGGAUUCUGAGACACGAAUCCAGGCCCUACGGGGUGCAGCAGGCGCGAAAACUUUACAAUGCCGGCAACGGCGAUAAGGGGACCUCGAGUGCCAGGUUACAAAUCUGGCUGUCGUGAUGCCUAAAAAGCAUUGCAUAGCAAGGGCCGGGCAAGACCGGUGCCAGCCGCCGCGGUAACACCGGCGGCUCGAGUGGUAACCGUUAUUAUUGGGUCUAAAGGGUCUGUAGCCGGCCGGAUAAGUCUCUUGAGAAAUCCAGCAGCUCAACUGUUGGGCUUUCAGGAGAUACUGUCUGGCUCGAGGCCGGGAGAGGUGAGAGGUACUUCAGGGGUAGGGGUGAAAUCUUGUAAUCCUUGAAGGACCACCAGUGGCGAAGGCGUCUCACCAGAACGGACCUGACGGCAAGGGACGAAAGCUAGGGGCACGAACCGGAUUAGAUACCCGGGUAGUCCUAGCCGUAAACGAUACUCGCUAGGUGUCGGCCACGGUGCGACCGUUGUCGGUGCCGUAGGGAAGCCGUGAAGCGAGCCACCUGGGAAGUACGGCCGCAAGGCUGAAACUUAAAGGAAUUGGCGGGGGAGCACA